rnacentral:rRNA from 1 species
CAUAUCAAUAAGCGGAGGAAAAGAAACCAACAGGGAUUGCCUCAGUAACGGCGAGUGAAGCGGCAACAGCUCAAAUUUGAAAUCUGGCUCUUUCAGGGUCCGAGUUGUAAUUUGUAGAAGAUGCUUUGAGUGUGGCUCCGGUCUAAGUUCCUUGGAACAGGACGUCAUAGAGGGUGAGAAUCCCGUACGUGACUGGGUGCCUUCGCUCGUGUAAAGCUCUUUCGACGAGUCGAGUUGUUUGGGAAUGCAGCUCAAAAUGGGUGGUAAAUUUCAUCUAAAGCUAAAUAUUGGCCAGAGACCGAUAGCGCACAAGUAGAGUGAUCGAAAGAUGAAAAGCACUUUGGAAAGAGAGUUAAACAGUACGUGAAAUUGUUGAAAGGGAAGCGCUUGCAACUAGACUUGCAUAUUGUUGAUCAUCCGAGCUUUUGCCCGGUGCACUCGAUAGUAUUCAGGCCAGCAUCGGUUUUGGUGGGCGGAUAAAGGCCUUGGGAAUGUAGCUUCUUUCGGGGAGUGUUAUAGCCCUCGGUGCAAUGCGCCCUACCGGGACCGAGGACCGCGCUUCGGCUAGGAUGCUGGCGUAAUGGUUGUAAGCGACCCGUCUUGAAACACGGACCAAGGAGUCUAACAUCUAUGCGAGUGUUUGGGUGUCAAACCCAUACGCGUAAUGAAAGUGAACGGAGGUGAGAACCCUUAAGGGUGCAUCAUCGACCGAUCCUGAUGUCUUCGGAUGGAUUUGAGUAAGAGCAUAGCUGUUGGGACCCGAAAGAUGGUGAACUAUGCCUGAAUAGGGUGAAGCCAGAGGAAACUCUGGUGGAGGCUCGCAGCGGUUCUGACGUGCAAAUCGAUCGUCAAAUUUGGGUAUAGGGGCGAAAGACUAAUCGAACCAAAAUAGUAGCUGGUUCCUGCCGAAG